UGCAGUCGAACGAACUUAACCAUUAGUUUACUAUUGGAGCGGUUAGUGGCGGACUGGUGAGUAACACGUAAGCAACCUGCCUAUCAGAGGGGAACAACAGUUAGAAAUGACUGCUAAUACCGCAUAUGCCUUGAGUAUCACAUGGUACAAAAGGGAAAGGAGCAAUCCGCUGAUAGAUGGGCUUGCGUCUGAUUAGAUAGUUGGUGAGGUAACGGCCCACCAAGUCGACGAUCAGUAGCCGGACUGAGAGGUUGAACGGCCACAUUGGGACUGAGAUACGGCCCAGACUCCUACGGGAGGCAGCAGUCGGGAAUAUUGCGCAAUGGAGGAAACUCUGACGCAGUGACGCCGCGUGCAGGAAGAAGGUUUUCGGAUUGUAAACUGCUUUAGACAGGGAAGAAACAAGACAGUACCUGUAGAAUAAGCUCCGGCUAACUACGUGCCAGCAGCCGCGGUAAUACGUAGGGAGCAAGCGUUAUCCGGAUUUAUUGGGUGUAAAGGGUGCGUAGACGGGAAAUUAAGUUAGUUGUGAAAUCCCUCGGCUUAACUGAGGAACUGCAACUAAAACUGAUUUUCUUGAGUGCUGGAGAGGAAAGUGGAAUUCCUAGUGUAGCGGUGAAAUGCGUAGAUAUUAGGAGGAACACCAGUGGCGAAGGCGACUUUCUGGACAGUAACUGACGUUGAGGCACGAAAGUGUGGGGAGCAAACAGGAUUAGAUACCCUGGUAGUCCACACCGUAAACGAUGGAUACUAGGUGUAGGGUGUGAUAAACAUUCUGUGCCGUCGCAAACGCAGUAAGUAUCCCACCUGGGGAGUACGGCCGCAAGGUUGAAA
rnacentral:rRNA from 1 species